UUUAAAUGCUGCUGACGUGAAUGAUCAAGUCAUGAUUGUUUAUGAAAUUUAAGCAAUGAAGUUGAAGUUCUUGUCACCUGUUGUAUGUUUCUAUGGUUACGGUAACUUUCUGCUCAGAGAUGCUGGGAUCCACAACCUUCUGACAAAGAGGAAAGUACACCCAGAAUUAAGCAUGUGUUGUAUGGAAUUAUUGCUCAUAGAUCGUCAACAUAUCCAGGGUUGAUUGAUGCAGCAAAAGAUGGACAUCCUUUUAUGUGAGUGAAAUACUGCAGGCUGAAAAUGAUUUUGAUUUGAAUGUCUGCAACAGUAAAAGUGUUAUGGUAAUCCA